rnacentral:tRNA from 1 species
GAGGGUAUAGCUCAGAGGUAGAGUGUGCAACUAGCAUGCACAAGGUCCUAGGUUCAAUCCCUAGCACCUUCA